UCAUUUUUGCAAGGUAUAUCCUAAAAUUGGAACAAUACAGAGAAGAUUAGCCCAGUCCCUGCUCGAGAAUGACAUACCAAUUUGUGAAGUGUUUCAGAUUUUC
ensembl:snRNA U6 U6 spliceosomal RNA